rnacentral:tRNA from 1 species
UAUAUGGGGAUGUAGCUCAGAUGGUAGAGUGCUCGCUUAGCAUGCGAGAGGUACGGGGAUCGAUACCCCGCAUCUCCAACUUAAGUA